CAAGGUUAGAGAUCAAACUGACAAAAACUCUCAUCAUGAUCAUCAAACUCCCCGGACACAUCUAACACUAGAAUUCUUUUGCAAGAUUCUUGAAGGAUCAGCAAACCUAGCUGAGAAAGAACGAGAAAGAUUAUCAGGCUCUGCCCACCCAGUUCCCUGAUCAAAAUUCUGAGAGUAAUCAUCUGGAUCAUAAGAAGCCUGCAAUGUAACAGGAGCACUAAAAAUUUUCUUCUUCUCCCUGUAGAUUUUUCUCCAAAACUUAUGCCACUUGGGUUUAUAAUUAGCUUCAUCCUUUUCACCUUUUACUUGUAGUUGGUUCCUGCCCAGAUAGAUAGUUUCUCUGCAUGAUGAGUUGCGCCAGUUCUUGAAGUUCAUCGCCAUGGCAGAAGAUCAAGAAAAG
rnacentral:misc_RNA from 1 species